rnacentral:rRNA from 1 species
CCUACGGGUGGCAGCAGUAGGGAAUCUUUCACAAUGGGCGAAAGCCUGAUGGAGCAACGCCGCGUGCAGGAUGAAGGCCUUCGGGUUGUAAACUGCUUUUAUAAGCGAGAAAUAUGAUGGUAACUUAUGAAUAAGGAUCGGCUAACUACGUGCCAGCAGCCGCGGUCAUACGUAGGAUCCGAGCAUUAUCCGGAGUGACUGGGUGUAAAGAGUUGCGUAGGUGGCAUAAUAAGUAGCUAGUGAAAUCUGGUGGCUCAACCAUUCAGACUAUUAGCUAAACUGUUAAGCUCGAGACCGUUAGGGGUAACUAGAAUUUCUAGUGUAGGAGUGAAAUCCGUAGAUAUUAGAAGGAACACCAAUAGCGUAGGCAGGUUGCUGGGAAGGUUCUGACACUAAGGCACGAAAGCGUAGGGAGCAAACGGGAUUAGAUACCCGUGUAGUC